AGUGAACGCUGGCGGUAGGCCUAACACAUGCAAGUCGAACGGCAGCACAGUAAGAGCUUGCUCUUACGGGUGGCGAGUGGCGGACGGGUGCUGAAUACAUCGGAAGCUACUUUUUCUAAGGUGAGAACGUAGGGAAACAUACGCUAAUACCGCAUACGGCCUACGGGGGAAAGCAGGGGAUCUUCGGACCUUGCGCGAUUGAAUGAGCCGAUGUCGGAUUAGCUAGUUGGCGGGGUAAAGGCCCACCAAGGCGACGAUCCGUAGCUGGUCUGAGAGGAUGAUCAGUCACACUGGAACUGAGACACGGUCCAGACUCCUACGGGAGGCAGCAGUGGGGAAUAUUGGACAAUGGGCGCAAGCCUGAUCCAGCCAUACCGCGUGGGUGAAGAAGGCCUUCGGGUUGUAAAGCCCUUUUGUUGGGAAAGAAAAGCAGCAGGUUAAUACCCCGCUGUUCUGACGGUACCCACAGAAUAAGCACCGGCUAACUUCGUG
rnacentral:rRNA from 1 species